rnacentral:lncRNA from 1 species
GGUGCCACAGUGUCCUGGGAUGAAUGGGUCUCUGUCUUCAAGGCUGUGUGAGCCUCUGUGUGUGCAGGUCCCAUUAACUCGCCCUCGGCCACAUGUGGAAAGGGGAGGAGAGGCCCGGAGAAGCCCAAACCACUCCGAGUCCUUCUGAUUUUAGAAUGAAGCAGAAGACGCAGAAGAAAAAAUUAUACCAGCCCAAAUUCAUAUCAAUAGAGUGCACGUGUGUGUGCGUGUGCAUAUGUGCAUAUAUACACACACACACUCACAUACAUGUGCACCUGCAUGCUCUGGGGCCCUGUCAUAACUUUCUCUUCUCAGCCCUAUUGUCCCAACAUCCUGUUACCCAUCUGGGGACUCUGAGGGAACAAUCUUUGGCUAAUACCCUAAAACAGAUUCUAGAGAGCUGACCCUAUUUGCUUUUGUGGUAGCUUCAGUUUUGUGUUGUGUGUGUCUGUCUUCCCCUUGUCUGUGGGUCUGGGCGUGGCUUCUCCUUCCCGAGCCCCACCUGCAGCUUCCGCGGUGUGUGCUCUGAUCUCCAACCCAUCUAGCAGGCCUCACUUGCACCAUUGUGCCUGGGACGGACUGGCUUGGCCCAGGCCCUGUCCUGAGCCCCAUGUUCCCGCUCCCCCUUCUCGUCCUCUCUGGGCCCCUGUUGCCCUUGGCUGUGGUUUGUUUAAUGGAGUGACUCCUGUCUGGGAGCAACUCAGAGCUCAGGACACAGGGAGACACUUGUCCAAACUUGCUAUUUUUUCAUCAAAAGAGCCAAACCACAGUGAUGGGCUCAGUGGCCUGGCUGGGUGCCUUCCUCAUCCUUCAACCACCAGCCUGGCCUCCAUUCCCCUCACUGGCCCUGAUUACCAGUGGUCUCUGGUUUAGGACUUUUAGUUACCCAUUGGGAGACUUCCCCAGUAGGAGUGUGGCCUCUUAGGUGAGGGGAAAAGGGAGAUCUGGGUUCUGAGAAAGUAGCUGAGACGGAGAGAUAUGCAGAGGACAAAAGAAUAAGUAAACAGAAACCAAUGACUGUACCAUAUUCAUCCCUUUCUCCCCAGUGCCUGGUUCAAAGAAUGAGUGAGUGAAUAUUGGAUGGAUGGAUGGACAGAUGGCUGGCUGGCUGGCUGGAUAAGCAGAUGUGUAGAUGGGUGAAUGGGUAGAGGGAUAAAUAAAUAAAUAACGCCUCUUAGAUCCAAGGAGACCUUCUGAUAAACCUAAUCUGACUUCCUGGUCUGAAUGUAGGGAAGAAGGGAGAAACUGAGUCUAGAAGGUACAGCCAACUCACUAGAAAAGGUGUGGCCGGGCAAAUAGCACUGAGUCAGAGAGGAGGCGGAUGGGAAGAGAUGAGGCUCAGGUUGAUAGCGGUGCCGUGGAACAGGACCCUGGGGACAAAAUGUUUUUGGCUGGGGCUAGAGCAAACGGUUCUGUGCUGGGACCAGGGGGUGGAGAAGGUUUCCAGCGCCUAACACAGGAGCCUGACAUAGUAGGCACGUUGCAGUAUUUGUUGAAUGAGUGAAUGAAUAAAACACUUCCAUAUCUCUUCUCUGUGGAGAACACCCCCAAAUCCUUUUCCGAAGGGCAUGCAGAAUUCUUAGAGCUCUGGUCCACUAAGGGCCUCCCUCUGGGGGUAAAAUGAAACAGGGUCAGCAGCCCUGCCGAGGGAAAAACAGACAGUGGCACCUCUGCCCUCAUCCAAGCUCCUCACACCUCCUCCUGCUACCCCUCCCCCUUCUCCAGCCCCACCACUAGCUACUAAGGUGAUUCAGAAGCUGGAGGUGCAGGAAAGAGCAACACAAAACCACCGUGCAGGAGUGGCUGUGGUGUUCUCAAGCUCCAACAAAAGGCCUCCUUACUCCACUGACUGGGGUAGAAGAUGGGACUGAGGGUUGCGGGGAGGGGGCUUGAUUGAUGAGAUGGGCAGCUCCACACUACCAAGCCCAGAGCUGCAGGGCUCGGACACCCCGUUCAGGGGUCCUGUCCCCAGGCUAGACCCAAUAGAUCCCUGAUGCUGAGAUCUUCAGGGAAGGAAAUACUCAGCGCUCCCCAAUGCCCUUGAAAUUGGAAGAGCUCCUGAAGUUUCAUCACUUUUCCCUGGGGCAAUUUGGCUUGGGAGAGUCCGAGCAGAACCUCCCCUUAAAGCUUAUCCAGUAGAGUUGCCCUCUGAAUUAGACCUAGAAAGCCUGGGCUGUGAGGCCUGAGGGGGCUUGCUUCUGGUCGGGGCUGAGUCCAUUUUCUGAGCAGACACACAACUGUUGGCUCAGGGCCGGCAAGAAAAGGCCUCUUGAGCCAAAGGAAAACAAUUAGGAGUAAUUACCAUCAAGAGAGGCCCUCCUGGUGAGGGGCGAGGGUGGGAAAGGCCGUCUGUUUAAGAGGAAGCUGAAAGUGGCAGACCGAUUUUUGGGAAAAAUCAGAGGGUGGGAGGAAGGGCUGAGAGUGUGUGCUGUCUUUCUUCUCCAGGGAGAGAGCGGGGCUCCGCCCCCCUCGGCCCCUAUAGGGGCUCCACGUCUGGAGGUGGGGCGGGGGAGGGGGGCAUGGCGAGCGAGAGGGCACAGGGCUCUGCAUUCCUGAGAUUCUCAAAUCAGUCGGAAAGGAAGGGCAGAGGAAACUCCACACUGAGGGGACAGAGCCUGAGACAGGGACAAAAGUGAACAGAUAAAAAAUGGAGCACUGCGGAGACCCCAAGUGUGUCCCAACGUGCCCCCGCCGCCCCCACAACCUCUUGAUUCCCGAGACCCUGUGGGGAUGCGCUAGACUGCUGGGUGUCUCCCUCUUCACCACCUGCCACUCCUCAGCCCUUCCCCUUCUGGGGUCAGGACCAGAGGCCUCAAAGGAAUAAGUGCUGCUAAUGCCGGUGGCCUAGGGCUGGGGACAAGAUGGGGAGGCAGCAAGAAGGGCAGCUGGGGAAAGAGCUGUCAGAGGGAGAGUGAGGGGAUUCCUUGGCACCCCUUUCUGGAGAAGUCCAGAGGAAAUGAACCUCAAAGAAGAGGUGCCUGCCAUUCCUCCUGACCCUCCAAACUAAGGGGAAGAGACAAGUAAGGGCCUCAAUCCUGCUCAUGAGAGAAAAGACGGAGGACGGACCUUUGUGGACCUCGUCGGAGGCUCUCUGGCUUCGUGUUGGUGGAGCCCUGUGACCCCUGCUGGGCCAGUGAAUGCACGGCCUUCCGAGACACACGCUCUUGGCUUGGAGUCCCUGUUUCAACACUGACAAUCUGUGAGACUUCAGGCAAGUUAUUCCAUCUCUAUGCUCCUUAUAGGAUUGGGGAUAAUCGCACCCACAUCAAUACCCUUGUGAGCAUUAAAUAAGGUAAUAUAACAUAAUCUAAAUAUAAAGACACGGCACAUAAGGCUGCAGCCAGGGUCUCAAUAAAUAAACGCUUACUCUUAUUAUUACCGGGAGUGUUCAUGGAGCUAACUGGACGAUGACUUUGCAGCCAGGGGCCCUAGAGGGGGUGUGCCCUGUAAACCAUACACCAGGAAGAGUGAGGACUUGAAUAGGAUGGAGGCUAUCACUAUGGAAGGGAGAAUCCCUGGCCUGGCUCAGUGGGUUAAAGGAUCCCGAGUUGCCAGAGCUGCAGUGUAGGCCGCAGCUGGGGCUCAGGUUCAAUCCCUGGCCUGGGAACUUCCGUAUGCCAUGGAUGUGGCCAUAAAAUAAGCAAAUAAAAAUAAAAUCUGGAAGGGAGACACUGCUCACAGAUGCUGAGUAACUGUAAGCCCUUCACUCCCUCAGUAGUUCUCUCCUUCAGCUGUUCUAGGCAUCUGGGAUGCAGCGUAAACAGAUUAGUCAUUUUAGUGAGACCAAGCCAGUGAGUGAAUAACACAGUCAGAUAUGAAAUGCUACAGAGGGCAUGGGAGACCUGGGCUGUGGGGAUGACAGAGGGAGGAAGCAGGGAGGGAGGGAGGAGGGUGUCUGGGGAGAAGUUCUCCAGGCCUAGGAAGCUGCAAACAGAACGACCAUGAGGUGGAAGCAAGGUUGGUUUGUUAGACGAACACCAAGGAGGCCUGUGCAGCUGAGACCAGGAAGCCCAGGCAGAGCCAACGGUGACCUGGAGGGCCUCAUGGCACAGAUAAUUGGCUGGCGAUGGGCUGACAGGAAAUGGGGCACAGGUAUACAAGAAGGCAAAACAUUUUUUCCUGGGGUUCAGAAGAACAUCUGGUACACACUAUUACAUAUAAAAUAAACAAAGUCCUACUAUAUAGCACAGGGAACUAGAGUCAGUAUCUUAGUGUAAAACUGGAAUGGAAAAGAAUCUGGAAAAAAAAAAAAAAA